rnacentral:rRNA from 1 species
GACGAACGCUGGCGGCGUGCUUAACACAUGCAAGUCGAACGGAAAGGCCCUGCUUUUGUGGGGUGCUCGAGUGGCGAACGGGUGAGUAACACGUGAGUAACCUGCCCUUGACUUUGGGAUAACUUCAGGAAACUGGGGCUAAUACCGGAUAGGAGCUCCUGCUGCAUGGUGGGGGUUGGAAAGUUUCGGCGGUUGGGGAUGGACUCGCGGCUUAUCAGCUUGUUGGUGGGGUAGUGGCUUACCAAGGCUUUGACGGGUAGCCGGCCUGAGAGGGUGACCGGCCACAUUGGGACUGAGAUACGGCCCAGACUCCUACGGGAGGCAGCAGUGGGGAAUAUUGCACAAUGGGCGGAAGCCUGAUGCAGCAACGCCGCGUGCGGGAUGACGGCCUUCGGGUUGUAAACCGCUUUCGCCUGUGACGAAGCGUGAGUGACGGUAAUGGGUAAAGAAGCACCGGCUAACUACGUGCCAGCAGCCGCGGUGAUACGUAGGGUGCGAGCGUUGUCCGGAUUUAUUGGGCGUAAAGGGCUCGUAGGUGGUUGAUCGCGUCGGAAGUGUAAUCUUGGGGCUUAACCCUGAGCGUGCUUUCGAUACGGGUUGACUUGAGGAAGGUAGGGGAGAAUGGAAUUCCUGGUGGAGCGGUGGAAUGCGCAGAUAUCAGGAGGAACACCAGUGGCGAAGGCGGUUCUCUGGGGCCUUUCCUGACGCUGAGGAGCGAAAGCGUGGGGAGCGAACAGGCUUAGAUACCCUGGUAGUCCACGCUGUAAACGGUGGGUACUAGGUGUGGGGUCCAUUCCACGGGUUCCGUGCCGUAGCUAACGCUUUAAGUACCCCGCCUGGGGAGUACGGCCGCAAGGCUAAAACUCAAAGGAAUUGACGGGGCCCCGCACAAGCGGCGGAGCAUGCGGAUUAAUUCGAUGCAACGCGUAGAACCUUACCUGGGUUUGACAUGGAUCGGGAGUGCUCAGAGAUGGGUGUGCCUCUUUUGGGGUCGGUUCACAGGUGGUGCAUGCCUGUCGUCAGCUCGUGUCGUGAGAUGUUGGGUUAAGUCCCGCAACGAGCGCAACCCUUGUUCACUGUUGCCAGCACGUUAUGGUGGGGACUCAGUGGAGACCGCCGGGGUCAACUCGGAGGAAGGUGGGGAUGGCGUCAAGUCAUCAUGCCCCUUAUGUCCAGGGCUUCACGCAUGCCACAAUGGCUGGUACAGAGAGUGGCGAGCCUGUGAGGGUGAGCGAAUCUCGGAAAGCCGGUCUCAGUUCGGAUUGGGGUCUGCAACUCGACCUCAUGAAGUCGGAGUCGUUAGUAAUCGCAGAUCAGCAACGCUGCGGUGAAUACGUUCCCGGGGCU